UUUAUUGCUGAAAGAUGGCCUCGCGUCUGAUUAGCUGGUUGGUGAGGUAACGGCCCACCAAGGCGACGAUCAGUAGCCGGUCUGAGAGGAUGAACGGCCGCAUUGGGACUGAGAUACGGCCCAGACUCCUACGGGAGGCAGCAGUGGGGAAUAUUGGGCAAUGGGGGAAACCCUGACCCAGCAACGCCGCGUGAAGGAAGAAGGCCUUCGGGUUGUAAACUUCUUUUACCAGGGACGAAAAAGAUGACGGUACCUGGAGAAAAAGCAACGGCUAACUACGUGCCAGCAGCCGCGGUAAUACGUAGGUUGCAAGCGUUGUCCGGAUUUACUGGGUGUAAAGGGCGUGUAGGCGGAGAUGCAAGUUGGGAGUGAAAUCCAUGGGCUCAACCCAUGAACUGCUCUCAAAACUGUAUCCCUUGAGUAUCGGAGAGGCAAGCGGAAUUCCUAGUGUAGCGGUGAAAUGCGUAGAUAUUAGGAGGAACACCAGUGGCGAAGGCGGCUUGCUGGACGACAACUGACGCUGAGGCGCGAAAGCAUGGGGAGCAAACAGGAUUAGAUACCCUGGUAGUCCACGCUGUAAACGAUGAAUACUAGGUGUGGGAGGACUGACCCCUUCCGUGCCGCAGUUAACACAAUAAGUAUUCCACCUGGGGAGUACGACCGCAAAGGUUGAAACUCAAAGGAAUUGACGGGGGCCCGCACAAGCAGUGGAUUAUGUGGUUUAAUUCGACGCACCGCGAAGAACCUUACCA
rnacentral:rRNA from 1 species